rnacentral:rRNA from 1 species
CAGAUGUGAAAGACCCGGGGCGUCAACCUCGGAAUUGCAUUUGUAAACUAGGCAGACUAGAGUACUGUAGAGGGGGGUAGGAAUUUCAGGUGUAGCGGUGAAAUAGCGUAGAGAUCUGAAGGAAUACCGGUGGCGAAGGCGGCCCCCCUCGGACAGAUACUGACACUCAGAUGCGAAAGCGUGGGGAGCAAACAGGAUUAGAUACCCUGGUAG